ensembl:lncRNA
AUACAUUUUUCUCAACCGUCAGUUGACAUUUUAGCUUUUAGCUCGGUGGCGAUUGCCGGAAAACACCCGGAAAACCCACAAAUGAUCGGUUUCAGGCAAUGCAAGCAAUGCAACAAUUAAGGUGGACGUCAUCAGCAAUGUGAAUGAAUGAGAUGGUGCAGGACCCGAUUCUGUUUACGUGAACGGGGACUAUUUUUUCUCUGGACUACUGAAAUGCGAUACACAACGUUUGCUGGCUACAACUAGUUUGUGCUGAAAGGCAGCUAUUUACUUACUAUUUAUAAUUUUGCUGGUAACCAUAAAAGCAAUAAGGGACUUGAGGACGAUAAAGUACAGCCUUUCGUACCUUAUUGCUUUAUUAUAUUAGUAAGACAAAAGAAUUGCUUAAAUGUUGCAGUUACCCCUUUGUGAUUUGGAAAUAGUUGUUACCUCAGUUCAAAAAACGGAUAUAAUAUUGAUUUCCAUUCAAGACAUUUCCCACUAAAAAGUUAACACUAAUACUGUUAAACAUCUAAAAUAUUCAUAAUGACUGUAAUUAGCUGGGUGUAAAAUACUAACAGUUAAAGGAUCAACGUGUGCCUAAAAUGUGUUAAAGUAAGUUUUUACACUCAUCUAGCAAAGCAACAAAAGCCAUGAAUGGGCUUACACAAAUUUCAAUAAGGCCCAGGCUUCAACAGCCUAUUUUUGAUUUACGUAUUUAAACGCAGUUAAUCCUUAAUGCAUUAAUCAUCAAGGUAAUAAAGAGAUCACUGUUAGCUAGUUAGUUAUUACUUGAAAUACUGGCUUCACAGAAGGGAAACUUUGCCAAGGCCAUUACCAGAGAACAAUGCAACUCUUCAGACGUGGAUCCAAUGUGUAUACUAUUAUACAAAGAUCUAGAUGAUGAAACCAGCUGUGCCAGCAGAUGUUCGUUCGGAAUUCAGCUUCUCAUUAAGAGGUGGGGGACAGUAUGAGGAAACCAGAGGGAAUCCUUUUGUGAAGAUUAUUGGUGUAUCCUCCCGACCGGCUCCUCUAAGCUUGAGAUGUCUUUUACACCUAAUAAAUCCGCUUGAUUGGUCAAUAAUUAAAAAAAACAAACAUGUUUUUGUUGCACAGUAUAUGCAUGUCGUGUGGUGCUAUUUUAUGCAAGGGCUAGUAAGUUUUUAAGCAGUGUAAUCAUUUUAUUCUGUGUCUAUGUAGGAGAGGCUUAUGAGUACAUCUGCAAUAACGUACACCGUGGUACUGAGGUGCAACCUGAUCGCCGGGCCAGAGUUUUGUCAAACAGAAAGAUAGCUGACAGAUCUUAGUUUUUACUGAGAUUUCAGAUUGAGCUUUGUCUGUAAAUAGGAAACAACAUUUGGUCACAGGAAUGCAAAAGAAAUCACCAAGGGAUCAAACCUGGAACUGCGCUGUCGUUGAACACAACUCUUUUUAAUAUGUAGUUUGAAGUGUUGAUUGUUCUUAUCUUGUUGCAUCUGUUUCUUAAACAAGAAGCUUUAAAAAUGUAAUGUUAUUCAUCAGUCUUACCGUAAAUGUUGAAUUACUAUUGGUUUCAUACUUCUGAAAAUACUAAAAGACGGAAAUAUCAACAUGUAUUGGUGUAAUGAUUAUUGCCAUCUUUAAUUAAAAAACAAUUAAUCAUCUGGUGAUUUUGCAUUAAGAAUUACUCCAACAGUACUUUAAUAUUUACCUAUUUUCCAUGACAUAAUCAGCGUCAUCCCGUUUCUGUGUUUGAUACAAAUUCAGCACACACAGAUUGUCUUAGCUCCUUUCUUGCUCUCCAGCAUUCUUAGGUUCAUGUUAUUUGUGUAUCUUAUGAUAUGUUGAGCAAACUGGACACAUCUGACAAAGACACAUUUGUGUUAUUUUUCUCAAAAGAGGGAAGCAGUCCAAAGGAGUCUUGAGCUUGGCUUAACCGAUUCGAUCCUCUGGCACAGUUACACUGAUCUUAACUAUUGCAUAUUUUAAUGAGUUUGCCCGGUAGUCAAAAUAAAUUGAAUUAUCGUUUCAUCAAACAUCUGUUUGUUUACUUGUGGUGUAAAUGGAAAAUGCAACGUUUCAGUGGACUUUUUAAUGCCUACCCUGCCGUCGUCGUCGAGUUGCUGCCAACGGCGUUUCCCGUAAAACCCGGAUUCUAAUGAGGACGUCCCCAGUCAUCAGUGAGUUUGCUAAUACUUGUCAAACGCUGAAAAAGACACUCUCCGCUCUCUAGUUGGCGGGACACAAGCUCUCAGCUGAGCGCACACACACACACAUACACACACACACACACACACAUUUAUGGAUUUUGGGGUGGGACUGAUACGGAGAAAUGUGAUAUCAUGCUCUCAUUGUUUUCGAGAAGAGGCUUGUGCUCAUAAAACGUACAUGCGUAGCGUAUCGUAACUUGCAAAUCAAGAAAGGUUUUAAUUAACAUGAAUUAGCUGCAGCAAAAUAACCAGCUGAGACUAAAUGAGUAACCUAGUCGGCUGUUUGGCAGUCAGUGUUAACGUUAAUAUCUGCUCUCUAUUGUCUUCUGGUUCUCAGCGUUCUUUACGUGCACGUAUGUAGAGCUGGCAGAUGUGCUGUACUGAUAGGCAGAGGCAACGGGGAGGGGUCAAUGGCUGUGAUUGCGCCCACCUCAAGUCAAUUUAGAAGGAAAAAAAAACGAUCUACGUUGUUUUAUGGGCAGGUGAGAUGAAAAUUUUGAAUGAAUACAGACAAUUGUGUCCACCCAAAAGGCACAUCAGUCCAUCCUGAAAGUGCAUGGACUGACAGAUGGCCAGGCCUUCCCUGAUUAGACCCGAUCCAAUAUGCGGUUGACCUGGAAAGACCUGAAUAGAGACACACCAUCAAAGCAGGCAGCAGUAUGAUGUUAUAUCAAUUAUUUAUAAAAACACAUGUGAAAUUAAGCUAGAAACUAUGUCCAACAAUAAUGUUUUCAGGAUUCAAACACCAUUAAUUAAGGUAAAUAAAUUCUAUUUUCACUUUCUGCACCAGUAGUAGACAUUCAGUAGCCAACUGGGCAACAGAAGGUGAUCAUUUUUAAUAAAAUGUAAUCCGAUCUGAUGACAUAUCUUUUACAGACUUGAAGCUGUUGGUAGUAAAACGAGACCCAACCUGAUGAAGCACGUUAUGGACCCAAUCUGACUUUUUUUCUUCAGAACCAAAUGUACAGAAGAAGAACUCCCAACGGAGGGUUCUUCCCUGUCAAUCAGCAGUUCCAAUAAAAACGCUACAGUGUGACUCUUUAAUGAAAGUUGGUAAAAUAAUGACAUCACUUUGAAUUUUACCCUGCAACCUAAUUUCAAAUAAAGGUUCGAAAUACAUGAGGAAAGAGCGUGCACACCACACACAGACAGAUGCUCACGCGUUGCUUUUAAUGGCGUGUCUCAUUGGCACACCACAUUACAAAUCACUUACAGCGGGUGUGAAGAUCAGUGGCCUUCUAUUCUCUCAUUAAGGGUAAUUAAGUUGGAGUGAUGGGUGUAGUUGGUGGGGGAGGCCUGAACCUGAUUGUCCACUAGUCUUUCAGUGUGAAGUGUUGAUGAUUCCUUUGGACACAGCAUUGGACAAGGAGCUGCUGUAGGGAACACUCUAAUCAGCUCUGGCCACACUCCCUAACUUUAUUCUCAUUAAAGUUGGCAAGUGACAUUUAACUACUACACCAGGGACUUCACAAUGCAAAUAAAUGGUAACUUCAGUGUUGGAAUUAUAAUGGCCUUCUUAUUCCACUUUUAAUGACCCAAUCUAGAUUUCAAAGUCACUUCCUCCGCAGGUCGGCUUGCUCGCUCCUACAAGCCUUCUUAUUGGCUAAUAGAGAGCAAACGAUGUCAAUUUAACUGUGGAGGGAUUCUCGGCGGUAAGAGGAAGAGGCUAAAAAGUCAAUAACUUACUUUACCUCCUCCACUCCACCUACUUCCAAACUGUCUUUAUUCAGGCCCAUUUGAGUAUUUUCAUGGUACAUUUAAUACAGGAGUCUCUCUAAUCCCCAGGCCCACCUAAUGAGACGGUAAUGAAAAGUUAAUCCACAUAGCUCAACUCCACCUAGCCUUUAGCUAAUGCUGCUUUUAACUCCAGCUCUCAUUAACUUUUAAAACAUGUGCCAUUAACAGGUUGGUAGACGACCCAUCGGCUGACUUUCCAUCCAACCACUCACUGUGUCUGAACUUUAAAACAUAAUUAGGUUAGCGAGAGAAAUUCACACUGACCACCUAAUUAGGAUACAGUGUGGAGUUCAGCUGUCAGAGUAUCGAUUGGAUGGGGAUUCUCUGGCACGUGGUGGUCAGGUUGGACACUAAACCCCAGCUGGGGUCUGACCCUGAUGUCUGACAGUCUUUUAAUUGUUUUUGAGGAUGCACAUCUAGACACAGAUAAUAGUUUUCGCUUAUCACGUUUGCAUUCUUAACCAGAGGGACCAUUAGGAGGUACAAUAUCAAAUAUAAUUUUCUUACCUACGGGACUAUUUGUAAUUUUUCACAGCAACUACAAAUAUUGAUACGUUGUUGUGCGAAAUCCACUUUCAUUAGGAAAUGGUGAAUAAUUUAAGAGGAUGAUUAAAAAUAAAUCCCAGCCAACCAACAUCAUAAGCUUUAGGGGGGGGGGGGUAGGCUAUCUAGUGAUUUGAAGUAGACCCUCCCACCUCUAAUAAAGACAGCGUCUGUUGUCUACCAGCCCAUACAUGACAACACUGGGGCAUAAAAUAUGUCUUACUGAACCAACGAUAAAUAGUGAUUUGAUUACAAACGGUUAAUGCAAGGGCAAACAAGUGUGUGUAUUUUGCAUUCCUGGGGCUUUCUUGACAGCUCUCAACUGAUUACCAAUUCAUCAUUUUUGUGCUGUGGUGACAGAUAAUUCUACAGCACUGUUGCUCUGGAGAAUGAAAAUGAGGUUAAUGAAUGUGGAUCAGGCUAAUUCCUCUGUCCUUGCCAGACCGCAGGCCUAUAAAAUACCCAUAUAUGCAGACCUGCAUGGGUAAAAUGGUUUGUAGCUAAAUGGAAAUUUUCACAGGCCCCAUGGGACAGUGAGCCUAAAAGCACAUGGAGCUCUGCUGUCUUUGCAGUAAUAAAGAUAAUGUCUUUCAGAUAUUAAAAACAUUUUUAAAAAGUCAUCAGUUGCAUGAAAAAAAAUGCACAUCCACAUUUAACUGUGAGGGAAGUCGUGUAACUUCUUAAAACUAUUUAUAUAUCGUAUACCGAUUAUCAUUUUGGGGGAACAAUGGAUGUUACAGCAUGCCGGCUCUACACACUGCCGGUUUCAUAGGGACAUGUAUUUAUGUAAGAAUUCUUAGAUACAGGCUCUGCACCUGAGUGAUCAGCGGAGACCACAGGCUGUUGUGUCCAGAGAAAAACCUCCCCUGUUAACACUUUUGAAA